CACAAAAUAAAAGCAGAAAUUACACUGAAUAAUGAAAAAAAAAAGGAAAUUAUGCACAUGUCGACCCGAAUGCUGACCAUUUGCAACGAAAGGCAGAGGAAGGCAAAACUCAAAACAAAAUUCAAGAACACGCCUCCAAAACAACAAAGAAUUUUCAGAAUCCUACAGUAUCUUCUAAUAUCAAGAUGUCGAACAACAAUGGAAAUCUCUUCCUAAUUUGCUUUAAGAAGGAAUGAAAAUGUUUAUGCAA